AUCCAGACUCCUACGGGAGGCAGCAGUGGGGAAUAUUGCACAAUGGGGGAAACCCUGAUGCAGCGACGCCGCGUGAGCGAUGAAGUAUUUCGGUAUGUAAAGCUCUAUCAGCAGGGAAGAAGAUGACGGUACCUGACUAAGAAGCCCCGGCUAACUACGUGCCAGCAGCCGCGGUAAUACGUAGGGGGCAAGCGUUAUCCGGAUUUACUGGGUGUAAAGGGAGCGUAGACGGCGAUGCAAGCCAGAUGUGAAAGCCCGGGGCUCAACCCCGGGACUGCAUUUGGAACUGUGUGGCUGGAGUGUCGGAGAGGCAGGCGGAAUUCCUAGUGUAGCGGUGAAAUGCGUAGAUAUUAGGAGGAACACCAGUGGCGAAGGCGGCCUGCUGGACGAUGACUGACGUUGAGGCUCGAAAGCGUGGGGAGCAAACAGGAUUAGAUACCCGGGUAC
rnacentral:rRNA from 1 species